GAUGAACGCUGGCGGCGUGCCUAACACAUGCAAGUCGAACGAGAAAGUUUACCUUUCGGGAAACCGUAGUAAAGUAGGCGCAAGGGUGGAGUAACACGUGAAUAAUCUGCCUAUGAAUUCGGGAUAACUCGACGAAAGUUGUUGCUAAUACCGGAUAAGACCACGUCUCUUAUGUGAUGUGGCCAAAGGAGUCUCAAACUCCGUUUAUAGAUGAGUUCGCGGACCAUUAGCUUGUUGGCGGGAUAACAGCCCACCAAGGCGACGAUGGUUAGCCGGCCUGAGAGGGUGAUCGGCCACACUGGAACUGAGACACGGUCCAGACUCCUACGGGAGGCAGCAGUGGGGAAUAUUGCACAAUGGAGGCAACUCUGAUGCAGCAAUGUCGCGUGAGUGAAG
rnacentral:rRNA from 1 species